rnacentral:rRNA from 1 species
UACAGAGGGGGCAAGCGUUAUUCGGAAUUAUUGGGCGUAAAGGGCGCGUAGGCGGCCUGGCAAGUGGAAUGUGAAAUCCCUCGGCUUAACCGAGGAACUGCCUCCCAAACUGCUUGGCUUGAGACUGGGAGAGGUGAGUGGAAUUCCCAGUGUAGCGGUGAAAUGCGUAGAUAUUGGGAAGAACACCAGCGGCGAAAGCGCGCUACUGGGCCAUUACUGACACUCAUGGACGAAAGCUAGGGGAGCGAAAGGG